AUUCCAGCUCCAAUAGCGUAUAUUAAAGUUGUUGCGGUUAAAAAGCUCGUAGUUGGAUUUCUGCCGAGGACGACCGGUCCGCCCUCUGGGUGAGUAUCUGGCUCGGCCUGGGCAUCUUCUUGGGGAACGUGGCUGCACUUGACUGUGUGGCGCGGUGCCCAGGACUUUUACUUUGAGGAAAUUAGAGUGUUUCAAGCAGGCUCACGCCUUGAAUACAUUAGCAUGGAAUAAUAAGAUAGGACCUCGGUUUUAUUUUGUUGGUUUCUAGAGCUGAGGUAAUGAUUAAUAGGGAUAGUCGGGGGCAUUCGUAUUCAAACGACAGAGGUGAAAUUCUUGGACCGUUUGAAGACGAACUAAGGCGAAAGCAUUUGCCAAGAAUGUUUUCAUCA
rnacentral:rRNA from 1 species